rnacentral:lncRNA from 1 species
UUACAGAAGAAAGUUACCAUUACUGCUCAGCAUCAGCUUGCCUUGAGAAAUGUCACAUGUGUUCUUAGGAGGAAGCAGCAGGACAAAGAUUGAAUUGGGCCGCCUGAAGACUCUGGUGUUUUCAGUCCUAUCUUAUUGUUCCCCACUUGGAGAUGCAUCAGUGAUGGAAGGGAUGGUGAGAUGGGAUACAGGCAAAGUGGAUUCAGUAUGGCUCACCAAGCUGUGGCUGAUGAGCUGCUACUAGGGCCUCACCCCAUCACCUGGUGUGAUGUUAACUGCCUCCAGAUGACCAAGUCUGCAAUUAAGCAGAGUCAUUGUUGACCAUCAGGUGAGCUGCUCCCCAAGCCUUGCAAACAGUCAUCACUAGAGCUGCAAUUUGAGUACCUAGUGCUAUUUCAUCUG